GAUGAACGCUAGCUACAGGCUUAACACAUGCCAGUCGCGGGGCAGCAUGGGGGUUGCUUGCACUCCCCGAUGGCGACCGGCGCACGGGUGAGUAACGCGUAUCCAACCUGCCCUUCACCACAGGAUAACCCGGCGAAAGUCGGACUAAUACCGUAUGUUGUCCAUUGACGGCAUCCGAUUUGGACGAAAGGUUUGGCGGUGAAGGAUGGGGAUGCGUCCGAUUAGCUGGACGGCGGGGUGACGGCCCACCGUGGCGACGAUCGGUAGGGGUUCUGAGAGGAAGGUCCCCCACACUGGAACUGAGACACGGUCCAGACUCCUACGGGAGGCAGCGGUGAGGAAUAUUGGUCAAUGGGCGUAAGCCUGAACCAGCCAAGUAGCGUGCAGGAUGACGGCCCUAUGGGUUGUAAACUGCUUUUAUGCGGGGAUAAAGUGGCCCACGUGUGGGUUUUUGCAGGUACCGCAUGAAUAAGGACCGGCUAAUUCCGUG
rnacentral:rRNA from 1 species